GCUUCGUCCUUGAGAUAUUUAACAAUUUUUGACAUUCAAUUUAUCCUUACUAUGACGUCACGUUGGCGUAUGGGAAGGAAGGCAGCUGCUCCUCCCACAUCGUACGCUUAUGAUCAUGACUUUCUAAAAAAAACUUCAAGCAAGAUCUUGGGAGGUCGUGCAUCGAAAUAAAACCGUGUGCACAGGAAAUAUAUGUCCAGAGCGGCCGAGAGAAUU